rnacentral:rRNA from 1 species
AGUGAACGCUGGCGGCGUGCCUAAUACAUGCAAGUCGAACGGAGUGGCGCACGGGUGAGUAAUGUAUAGCUCAUCUGCCCUACACUAGAGGACAACAGUUGGAAACGACUGCUAAUACUCUAUAGUGUAGGAUGAGGCUAUAUUGUAUCAGCUAGUUGGGGAGGUAAUGGUUCACCAAGGCUAUGACGCAUAACUGGUCUGAGAGGAUGAUCUGUCACACUUGAACGGCGACACCGUCCAGACUCCUACGGGAGUCGGCAGUAGGGAAUACUGCUCAAUGGGGAAAACCCAGAAGCAGCAACGCAGCGUAGAGGAUGACACUUUUCGGAUCGUAAACUCCUUUUGGUAGGGAAGCGGUACCUAACGAAUAAGCACCGGCUAACUCCGUGCCAGCAGCCGCGAUAAUAC